rnacentral:misc_RNA from 1 species
CAUUAUUAGACGAUAAGACGCAAGAUAAGACUCGUUUCUAAAAUUGCACGACCUACCUCAACAGUUUAAAAAUUUUACUGCAUACAAUUUAUCCUACUGACUGAAGACUCUGAAGUCUGAAGUACUAAUUUUGUGAUUUAUCACUGAACUAGAAUAUCCCUUCAAGACUUCAUGAUAUCGAGCAAAUGGGGCGUCCAAAAAUGAAUAAGCCUAUACCAACCAAGAAAGGCCAGAGAGGAAGGCCUCGAAAGAACAAUCCCAAACAUCCAUCAUGUGAGCUCGACAAUGAUGUUGGACAAGAAGUUGAAAAUAUCCCAGAAGAACAGGAUAGUAACAUAAGUGAAGAACAAGACGAGAAUGAAGGAGAGCAAGAUGAAUCAAAUACAACAAUUGGUUCCAACUCAAGUGGAAGUUCAAAACCACCACCUGGUAACCUAAUCUCAAACUUUACAAUCCAAAGCUGGCCCUCUUGGCGUAAGAAAUUUUUUACUAACUGGAGAGAAGACACCAAGAAGGUAUACGCCCAAUGCCUGUUUUGUCAAGAUAAACGUUUUUUUCUCUGGAUCAAAACAAGCUUACACCAACUUUUCAACUCAUUGUUCAAGAGUUCACUGCGAAGAAUGGCAAAAGUUUACAGCACCAGGAACAGUUCGAAAUCAAGGUUCAAUUAAGCCUUUCACUGUUCAAACUACGAUGCAUAAUUCAAGAAAAAACCAGUUAGACGUAGGGCUCACUCGAGUUGUAAGCGAAGGGAAUCUUUCUCUUAACAUCUUAGCAAACAAAACUGUUCGUGAAUGGAUUGAGAUGGCAGUUCCUGGUUACCAUUUGCCCUCGGUUUAUGUAAUGAGAAACUCACUCAUACCACAAAGAUAUGAACAAAUUAAGGAAUACAUCAAGAAGAAACUGUCAUCCUGCACGGCUUUAUCUAUAAUACUAGAUAUUUGGUCAUGUAAGAGUAUGGUCGGUUACAUUGGCUAUACUUGUUCUGGAGUAUUGAAAACAUAUGAGCCGUUCAAGUGCUUCUUAUCAAUUAGACAAGUCAAAGGGAAACAUACUGGUGAAGCAAUUCUUAAUGAAUAUGAAGAUGUCAUACAGGAGUGGGAUAUUCCAAUUUCAAAGAUCGAACUAAAGCUGGUUUGUUUGAAAAGUUACUUUUUCUCAAACAUAAUUCAAAGUUGAUCAAUAACCCUGUGGCCUGUUGAAUGACUUGAAUCUCAUUUCUCAUUGAAUUGAACUCAAUUUUUAAUGAUUGAUCAGUUAAUAAACAAAACUGGACCAGCCAACAAAGAAUAAAAAAUGUCUUUUACCUUUUCUAAAAAAUUACUAUUCACAAACUCACCAGAUAUUAUGCGUAGCUUCACUAGCUUCAGCUUG